GGCUUGAUGGUCUAGUGGUAUGAUUCUCGCUUUGGGUGCGAGAGGCCCCAGUUCAAUCCCCGGUCAAGCCC
rnacentral:tRNA from 1 species